GGAAGGAAGCUCACUGUAGAGGUCAUGUACGGAGUGCGUCACAACUGUGAUGUCACUCCAUUAAUUCCUCCGGGAAGGUCUGAGACAGGAGCCAUUAGCUGCCCUCACAGGGCGUCACCUGAGUGGGUGAGUGAGUCCCCAGCAACCCCACGCUGGAGUGGACCGGCUCGACACGUGGAGUGGGCUCUGCAGGAGAGGCGGGGUGGACUGCAGUGAGAGGGUGGAGUUACAGAUUGACACUCCCACCCAACUCAGUGAGGCUCCGCCCAGCUGAUGCCGCCCCCUCCCCGGGCCUUGGAAGUGGCUCACGGCUGGCUGUGUUAGUCCAAUGGCUGAGGUGGAGCAGCUGCACGGGAUGUGUGCGCGCCCCAUAACCCAAUUCAGACCACUCUCCGGAAUUCC
rnacentral:RNase_P_RNA from 14 species